rnacentral:rRNA from 2 species
GGAUCCAGACUUUGAUCAUGGCUCAGGAUGAACGCUAGCUACAGGCUUAACACAUGCAAGUCGAGGGGAAACGAUAGAGAAAGCUUGCUUUUUCUAGGCGUCGACCGGCGCACGGGUGAGUAACGCGUAUCCAACCUGCCCACCACUUGGGGAUAACCUUGCGAAAGUAAGACUAAUACCCAAUGAUAUCUCUAGAAGACAUCUGAAGGAGAUUAAAGAUUUAUCGGUGAUGGAUGGGGAUGCGUCUGAUUAGCUUGUUGGCGGGGUAACGGCCCACCAAGGCGACGAUCAGUAGGGGUUCUGAGAGGAAGGUCCCCCACAUUGGAACUGAGACACGGUCCAAACUCCUACGGGAGGCAGCAGUGAGGAAUAUUGGUCAAUGGGCGAGAGCCUGAACCAGCCAAGUAGCGUGCAGGAUGACGGCCCUAUGGGUUGUAAACUGCUUUUAUAAGGGAAUAAAGUGAGCCUCGUGAGGCUUUUUGCAUGUACCUUAUGAAUAAGGACCGGCUAAUUCCGUGCCAGCAGCCGCGGUAAUACGGAAGGUCCGGGCGUUAUCCGGAUUUAUUGGGUUUAAAGGGAGCGUAGGCCGGAGAUUAAGCGUGUUGUGAAAUGUAGAUGCUCAACAUCUGCACUGCAGCGCGAACUGGUUUCCUUGAGUACGCACAAAGUGGGCGGAAUUCGUGGUGUAGCGGUGAAAUGCUUAGAUAUCACGAAGAACUCCGAUUGCGAAGGCAGCUCACUGGAGCGCAACUGACGCUGAAGCUCGAAAGUGCGGGUAUCGAACAGGAUUAGAUACCCUGGUAGUCCGCACGGUAAACGAUGGAUGCCCGCUGUUGGUCUGAAUAGGUCAGCGGCCAAGCGAAAGCAUUAAGCAUCCCACCUGGGGAGUACGCCGGCAACGGUGCAACUCAAAUGAAUUGACGG